GAUGAACGCUGGCGGCGUGCCUAAUACAUGCAAGUCGAGCGAACAGACGAGGAGCUUGCUCCUCUGACGUUAGCGGCGGACGGGUGAGUAACACGUGGAUAACCUACCUAUAAGACUGGGAUAACUUCGGGAAACCGGAGCUAAUACCGGAUAAUAUAUUUAACCGCAUGGUUCAAUAGUGAAAGACGGUUUUGCUGUCACUUAUAGAUGGAUCCGCGCCGCAUUAGCUAGUUGGUAAGGUAACGGCUUACCAAGGCAACAAUGCGUAGCCGACCUGAGAGGGUGAUCGGCCACACUGGAACUGAGACACGGUCAAGACUCCUACGGGAGGCAGCAGUAGGGAAUCUUCCGCAAUGGGCGAAAGCCUGACGGAGCAACGCCGCGUGAGUGAUGAAGGUCUUCGGAUCGUAAAACUCUGUUAUUAGGGAAGAACAAAUGUGUAAGUAACUAUGCACGUCUUGACGGUACCUAAUCAGAAAGCCACGGCUAACUACGUG
rnacentral:rRNA from 1 species